rnacentral:rRNA from 2 species
GGAGCAACGCCGCGUGAGUGAUGAAGGUUUUCGGAUCGUAAAGCUCUGUUGUUAGGGAAGAACAAGUGCCGUUCAAAUAGGGCGGCACCUUGACGGUACCUAACCAGAAAGCCACGGCUAACUACGUGCCAGCAGCCGCGGUAAUACGUAGGUGGCAAGCGUUGUCCGGAAUUAUUGGGCGUAAAGGGCUCGCAGGCGGUUUCUUAAGUCUGAUGUGAAAGCCCCCGGCUCAACCGGGGAGGGUCAUUGGAAACUGGGGAACUUGAGUGCAGAAGAGGAGAGUGGAAUUCCACGUGUAGCGGUGAAAUGCGUAGAGAUGUGGAGGAACACCAGUGGCGAAGGCGACUCUCUGGUCUGUAACUGACGCUGAGGAGCGAAAGCGUGGGGAGCGAACAGGAUUAGAUACCCUGGUAGUCCACGCCGUAAACGAUGAGUGCUAAGUGUUAGGGGGUUUCCGCCCCUUAGUGCUGCAGCUAACGCAUUAAGCACUCCGCCUGGGGAGUACGGUCGCAAGACUGAAACUCAAAGGAAUUGACGGGGGCCCGCACAAGCGGUGGAGCAUGUGGUUUAAUUCGAAGCAACGCGAAGAACCUUACCAGGUCUUGACAUCCUCUGACAAUCCUAGAGAUAGGACGUCCCCUUCGGGGGCAGAGUGACAGGUGGUGCAUGGUUGUCGUCAGCUCGUGUCGUGAGAUGUUGGGUUAAGUCCCGCAACGAGCGCAACCCUUGAUCUUAGUUGCCAGCAUUCAGUUGGGCACUCUAAGGUGACUGCCGGUGACAAACCGGAGGAAGGUGGGGAUGACGUCAAAUCAUCAUGCCCCUUAUGACCUGGGCUACACACGUGCUACAAUGGAC